rnacentral:rRNA from 1 species
GACGUAGGGCGCGAGCGUUGUCCGGAUUUAUUGGGCGUAAAGAGCUCGUAGGCGGCUUGUUGCGUCGACUGUGAAAACCCGCGGCUUAACCGCAGGCUUGCAGUUGAUACGGGCAGGCUAGAGUUCGGUAGGGGAGACUGGAAUUCCUGGUGUAGCGGUGAAAUGCGCAGAUAUCAGGAGGAACACCGGUGGCGAAGGCGGGUCUCUGGGCCGAUACUGACGCUGAGGAGCGAAAGCGUGGGGAGCGAACAGG